rnacentral:rRNA from 1 species
GAUUAAGUUAUUAAGGGCGCACGGUGGAUGCCUUGGCACUAGAAGCCGAUGAAGGACGUUACUAACGACGAUAUGCUUUGGGGAGCUGUAAGUAAGCUUUGAUCCAGAGAUUUCCGAAUGGGGAAACCCAGCAUGAGUUAUGUCAUGUUAUCGAUAUGUGAAUACAUAGCAUAUCAGAAGGCACACCCGGAGAACUGAAACAUCUUAGUACCCGGAGGAAGAGAAAGAAAAUUCGAUUCCCUUAGUAGCGGCGAGCGAAACGGGAAGAGCCCAAACCAACAAGCUUGCUUGUUGGGGUUGUAGGACACUCUAUACGGAGUUACAAAGGACGACAUUAGACGAAUCAUCUGGAAAGAUGAAUCAAAGAAGGUAAUAAUCCUGUAGUCGAAAAUGUUGUCUCUCUUGAGUGGAUCCUGAGUACGACGGAGCACGUGAAAUUCCGUCGGAAUCUGGGAGGACCAUCUCCUAAGGCUAAAUACUCUCUAGUGACCGAUAGUGAACCAGUACC